rnacentral:rRNA from 1 species
UACGUAGGGAGCAAGCGUUGUUCGGAUUUACUGGGCGUAAAGGGCGCGUAGGCGGCGCGGUAAGUCACUUGUGAAAUCUCUGAGCUUAACUCAGAACGGCCAAGUGAUACUGCAGUGCUAGAGUGCAGAAAGGGCAAUCGGAAUUCUUGGUGUAGCGGUGAAAUGCGUAGAUAUCAGGAGGAACACCGAUGGCGAAGGCAGGUCUCUGGGCUGACACUGACGCUCAUGCACGAAAGUGUGGGGAGCAAACAGG